UCCCGCCCCUUUUCACAGCCCCUCACAACAGAAUUACGCACACACAAACUCUAAUGUGACCGCAGCUUAAGUGUGCAUCUAGAGAUCUUGCAUCAACCAAUUAAUCAACGUUUUUAAUAGAACCUUAUAACAACGGUGAACUCCCCAAUGUACUUUACAACAUUAAAACAAAAUUACCCAUUAGUGAAGUAUUAAUAAGGUAAUUUUGAUAGGAUCACUUGCUUAUGAUUGACCAUAGCUUGUCUCGUAUUAACAAUCACAUGACCUACCAAUCAGAUGAAUCCAAACACACAAAUAAAGACACAGUCUAAACGAGUGUCAAUAAAUCAACAAAACAAUAAAACAGCAUUUUGCACUACUAAAUAUCAAAAUCCUGACUGGACGACUAUCAAUGUUUGAUGAGGACACGGUUGUUGUGCACUUUGGCUUUCUGGAAUAUAUGGGACCGGCUGUCUGUUCACCCCAGGUAAAAGCCUAGAGUUAGGAUUAGGGUGUGUCCUGUAAGGUAGUGGUGGGUGGGACACAGGGCACAUCCUAAGUUGCAAAAAAAAAAAAAAGCAAAAUACUUUUUGAAGUUUUUUUGCUUUACUAUGCAUUAAAUUAAAAACGUGGCUGAUUGGCCUUUAUGUCUAAUUGGUUCCUAGCUCGGGUGAAACACUCUGGGUGGAACUGACCAGCUACGGGCCCAUUGCACAGUCCGCUAUAGUGUGCCUCCAGAGAUCUUGCAUCAAUCAUACAAUCAAAUUUUUUUGAUUGUAUUCUGCUGUAUCGCCUCAUUACAGCUAACGUGAUCCCGCCUCUCGGUGAGCGCACUGUUUAUAUGGAAAUGAACUGAGGUGAGUCGGCUAAUAUUGCACUCGCCACCCGAGACAUGGCAUCAAACAACAAGCUUCAUCAUAGAGUUACUUACUUUUUCUGCGCUUUAGAUUGACGGCACGCUACAUGAGUGAAGAAGCACUUCGGAUGGUACUGGACAGCGACGGAUAAUUUACUUUCUCCUCAGAAGAAGAGUGCGACUGAUGACCAACGCAAACAUUUUGAAGAAUGUUUAGACCCAGCAGAGGAUAAAAUCCCUGUGGAAUGUGAAAACAACAGCGGUAAAGGACCAGUGGCAAAGAAAGCGAAAGCAAUGAAGUUGCCCACUCAGUCAUGGAAAACAGAGACUGAUGCUGCAUGACUCCACAGGCUCUGAGAUUCCUUCCUGUACAUGAACCUGGACAACAGCUAAGACCAUGUGAUGCUCAUUUCAAAAUGCUUUUUUUGUUUCAAAUCAAAUAAUUUGUCAAUAAACCCAUUUCAUCAAUUAUAAA